rnacentral:lncRNA from 1 species
GAGCUGCACGGAGCGAUGCGCUUCUGCCUGUCGUGCGGUGGCAAUUUUGCUGUAAAUUUGGCAAACUCGAGGGGCAAAUAGGUAACAGGUGCGCUGGUGUGCGGGACGGAGCCGCAAGGAGCCAAAAAAACCAGCUCCAUGUCGCGCGUGCAAAAACGGCUCCGCUCCACCUGGCUCCUCCCUUGGAGCUGUUCCCAUUUAAGCCCUUUGGCUCAGCUCCACCAAAAACGACUCCUGGAGCCGUUUUUCGAGCUCUACCAAAGGAGCCCUUAGUCCUGAUUGUAAACACCAACCCCCUUUAGUCCUGG